UCCUUAGAUGGUCUGGGCGGCACGCGCGCUACAAUGAUGCAUUCAAAAAGUCUUCUGACCUUAGAAGGUUGGGUAUUCUCCAAAGUGCAUCGUGAUGGGAAUAGUUUAUUGCAAUUUUUAAUCUUGAACGAGGAAUUCCUAGUAAGUACAGGUCAUCAACUUGUGUUGAUUACGUCCCUGCCCUUUGUACACACCGCCCGUCGCUCCUACUGAUUGAGUGUCUCGGUGAAUUCUUUGAUCUUCUGUCGAUUCAGUUCACUGAUCCGACGGUGGAAAGUUGAAUGAACUUCGUCACUUAGAGGAAGGAGAAGUCGUAACA
rnacentral:rRNA from 1 species